rnacentral:rRNA from 1 species
UACGGGGGGGGCAAGCGUUGUUCGGAAUUACUGGGCGUAAAGGGCUCGUAGGCGGCCAACUAAGUCGGAUGUGAAAUCCCCAGGCUCAACUUGGGAACUGCAUCCGAUACUGGAUGGCUUGAAUUCGGGAGAGGGAUGCAGAAUUCCAGGUGUAGCGGUGAAAUGCGUAGAUAUUGGGAAGAACACCGGUGGCGAAGGCGGCCAUCUGGACCAUUUCUGACGCUGAGGCGCGAAAGCGUGGGGAGCAAACAGG